rnacentral:rRNA from 1 species
UUAUGGCUCAGAACGAACGCUGGCGGCAGGCUUAACACAUGCAAGUCGAGCGAUCGCAGCAAUGCGGGAGCGGCAGACGGGUGAGUAACGCGUGGGAACGUACCCCCUCGGUUCGGAAUAACUCAGGGAAACUUGAGCUAAUACCGGAUACGGCUUAGCGGCGAAAGAUUUAUCGCCGGAGGAUCGGCCCGCGUUCGAUUAGCUAGUUGGUGAGGUAACGGCUCACCAAGGCGACGAUCGAUAGCUGGUCUGAGAGGAUGAUCAGCCACAUUGGGACUGAGACACGGCCCAAACUCCUACGGGAGGCAGCAGUGGGGAAUAUUGGACAAUGGGCGCAAGCCUGAUCCCAGCCAUGCCGCGUGAGUGAUGACGGCCUUAGGGUUGUAAAGCUCUUUCGCUAGGGACGAUAAUGACGGUACCUAGAUAAGAAGCCCCGGCUAACUUCGUGCCAGCCGCCGC